UACGAAGGGGGCUAGCGUUGUUCGGAAUUACUGGGCGUAAAGGGUUCGUAGGUGGCCACUUAAGUCAGACGUGAAAUCCCUCAGCUUAACUGGGGAACUGCGUCUGAUACUGGGUGGCUUGAGUGCAGGAGAGGAAUGCGGAAUUCCAGGUGUAGCGGUGAAAUGCGUAGAUAUCUGGAGGAACACCGGUGGCGAAGGCGGCAUUCUGGACUGUAACUGACACUGAGGAACGAAAGCCAGGGGAGCAAACGGG
rnacentral:rRNA from 1 species